AGUGCUUCUUUGGCAGUGUCUUAGCUGGUUGUUGUGAGUAAUAGCGAAGGAAGCAAUCAGCAAGUAUACUGCCCUAGAAGUGCUG